rnacentral:rRNA from 1 species
GACGAACGCUGGCGGCGUGCUUAACACAUGCAAGUCGAACGGAAAGGCCCCUCUGGGGGUACUCGAGUGGCGAACGGGUGAGUAACACGUGAGUAACCUGCCCUUGCCUUCGGGAUAACUUCAGUAAACUGGGGCUAAUACCGGCUAGGAAUCCUUGCUUCAUGGUGGGGGUUGGAAAGCUUCGGCGGUUUUGGAUGGAUUCGCGGCUUAUCAGCUUGUUGGUGGGGUAGUGGCUUACCAAGGCUUUGACGGGUAGCCGGCCUGGGAGGGCGACCGGCCACAUUGGGACUGAGGUACGGCCCAGACUCCUACGGGGGGCAGCAGUGGGGAAUAUUGCACAAUGGGCGGAAGCCUGAUGCAGCAACGCCGCGUGCGGGAUGACGGCCUUCGGGUUGGAAACCGCUUUCAGCAGGGGCGAAGCUUGUGGUGACGGUACCUGCAGAAGAAGCACCGGCUAACUACGUG